CUGCGAGUUCGCGGGAGAGUAGGUUAUUGCCAGGGUUUUUAUUUUUAUACUUUAAACUUUGAUUUUAUUUUUAUGUUUUUUAAAUAUUGGUGUUUUUGAAUGUGUUGUUUAAAUACCAUAAAAAAUAAAAUAUAUAUAUUGACAUGCAUUAAACAAAGAUAUAUAUUAUUUUAUGUUAUAUAAAUAAAUUGGCAAAAUAGAGAUGGAAGAUAAAAAUAUGGUCAAAGUAAUAAGAGUCUAUGGUGAAUGCCUAGGA
rnacentral:misc_RNA from 1 species